GAAAGGUUAUCAACACGAGGUCACGACCAGUAGAGCUUAUAACAACACAGGCUACUUCUAGUCACGGACUAAAAUUAAACCUUCGCCGACGGGAAGCCAAGAAUACCAAAAUUAAGCCAUCCGUCAUAUCACGCUCCAUACGUUCAUUUGAACACUCCAAGGUCACGGUUCCGUGGAGGGGUUGUUGGGCGAUGAGUUAGUCUCAAGGCUGAUCGUACAAUACAUCAUGCAAUGCGUAGUGCUGCAAAACAACACGCCCUCUACCACGACUGAAGCAUGCACACAGUAACAAGCAAGCAUGUUAAGUCACAUGGCUACGUUCUCUGAUGACAGAGGUCUUUCGUGUUGCGGCCCUAUUGCUACCCUGGUUCUAAAGGCUCCAAGUUUCACUACUCACGCGCCGCGACAAAGAGCCGCCAAGCGGCGACAACGACUGUCUUGUACGAGACAUUAAACAGAGAGAAGGAAAAAAGGAGACUCUGGAACCAGGGUACCAAAUUGCGGAACAAGUGAAAACUUUGGUACACAACCCAGCUGGCCACUAAAACAUUGAUUAGUAACCUCCCCGUUAGAUACCAAAUGGUCCGUUCCUUAUCCUCAUAAAGUUCUCCUGACUUUUGCUUCUCGAUCGUCCAAGCUUGUUUAAUAUAUGCUAUUUAUCUGCUUGUAGUAACAACGCGAUGGAUCCUUAUCUUGUAACAGAUAAAUGCCCAAACAGUUCUCUCCUUUCUUAAUAAAAGUUAACUGCGCUAC